UGCCUCCUAGAGUGUAGCUCAGGCUGUGUUCUUUGCACUGACAGCAGAGGGAGGAGGCAUAGCACCACCAGCCCCCAUCCCAUGUACACCUCAGCCCAGACUUUGUCUGGUCUUGUGAAUGGGAACAUAG